CUCCCACGCCCGCAGCCGCCGCCACCGCCAGCAGCGGCCCCGCACCGCUCCGCCCGGCCCGGCCCGCGGCCCCCCCGGCCCCCCCGGGAGCGGCCGCGCGGCGCAGCCAUGGGGCACCGGAGCCGGUAGCAACCGCGGCACGGCCACAGCACGGCCACGGCACGGCCACGGCACGGCCACAGCACGGGGACGUCGUGUGCUGGGAGCACCCCCACGACUGAG
rnacentral:lncRNA from 1 species